rnacentral:misc_RNA from 1 species
GAUGUGACAAAUUCUAGUACUACGAAUCUGAACAUAUAUAUGUCCAGAUUUAUAGUAGAAUAUGUUACAUCCGAUUCUAGAUUCAUUUUUUAUGGGACGG